GGCUUACCUGUUGCACCACAGAGGGCUAGUACUUCCAUGCCUUAGAAAGGACGUGGUCUUUACGAAGGUUGAAAGAAACUGCAUCUCCUUCCCUAAAGUAAUUAACACAAAAGCAAUUCCCCCAAAAUGCAGCGGGCACACAGAGGUGGCAUUGUGCUGGGGUGGGUUUAAAGUUAAGGGGUUUGGGUUCAGAUGUCCACUGUGUGGACGGGACAAGCCAAGCUACAGACUGAAAUCUGCUGAUCCGCUUCACAAGAAUCUCACUGCACAUCUUGAUCAAGACCAGGAGCGAGGAUACACAGCCAGUGCUUCACGAGUGGACUGAAGAGAAAAGGCAUCCAGCUGCACGGAGUGGGGAUGGGAUUGAGGCACUAACACCCACUUCAGGGGCACCAGGUGUCACUAAUAAUUAAGAUUAUCUGUGGUAUAAAUCCGGCUGUUUCGGAGCGUUCCCUACAACCACUUUGGGAUCCAGCGUUCCGGCGUCCGGUAAGUGAGUUGGCUUUUUUCUCUUUGUAUUUAAUUUUUAAAAAUUGUGUUGCUGUUUGUAUCCUUUUGUCUUCUCUUCCUUUUGGCUUUAGGUCUUAAAUAAAGUCCAUCCUGUAGUCUCA
rnacentral:lncRNA from 1 species